UACGUAGGGGGCAAGCGUUGUCCGGAUUUAUUGGGCGUAAAGAGCGUGUAGGCGGCUUGGUAGGUCCGCUGUGAAAACUCGAGGCUCAACCUCGAGAUGUCGGCGGAAACCACUUGGCUAGAGUCCGGAAGAGGAGAGUGGAAUUCCCGGUGUAGCGGUGAAAUGCGCAGAUAUCGGGAGGAACACCUAUGGCGAAGGCAGCUCUCUGGGACGGUACUGACGCUGAGACGCGAAAGCGUGGGGAGCGAACAGG
rnacentral:rRNA from 1 species